GGGGCUGCUACGAGGUGAGCAGGCACGCAAUUACCCAAUGACCGAAGGUCGAGGUAGUGACAAAAAAUAAUGAUACGGGACUCAUCUGAGGCCCCGUAAUCGGAAUGAGUACACUUUAAAACCGUCCCCGAGGAUCUAUUGGAGGGCAAGUCUGGUGUCAGCAGCCGCGGUAAUUCCAGCUCCAAUAGCGUAUAUUAAAGUUGUUGUGGUUAAAAAGCUCGUAGUUGGAUCUCGGCGGUCUGAGGGCGGUUCGCUUGAUUGAGUGCUACUGCUCUAUAGGCCGUGGUUUUGCCAGAGGUCUCGGGGUGCUCUUAACCGAGUGUCCUGCGAUGCUGGCAGGUUUACUUUGAAAAAAUUAGAGUGCUCAAAGCAGGCUUUUACGCCUGAAUAUUCGUGCAUGGAAUAAUAGAAUAGGAAGUCGUUUCUAUUUUGUUGGUUUUCGGAAAUCGACUUAAUGAUUAAUAGGGACAGUCGGGGGCAUUUGUAUUCAAACGACAGAGGUGAAAUUCUUGGACCGUUUGAAGACAAACUACUGCGAAAGCAUUUGCCAAGAAUGUUUUCAUUAAUCAAGAACGAAAGUUAGAGGUUCGAAGGCGAUUAGAUACCGCCCUAGUUCUAACUAUAAACGAUGCCAGCUAGCGAUCUGCCGACGUUUUCUUUGUAGACUCGGCAGGAAGCUUCCGGGAAACCAAAGCAUUUGGGUUCCAGGGGAAGUAUGGUUGCAAAGCUGAAACUUAAAGGAAUUGACGGAAGGGCACCACCAGGAGUGGAGCCUGUGGCUUAAUUUGACUCAACACGGGAAAUCUCACCAGGCCCGGACACUGGAAGGAUUGACAGAUUGAUAGCUCUUUCUUGAUUCGGUGGGUGGUGGUGCAUGGCCGUUCUUAGUUGGUGGAGUGAUUUGUCUGGUUAAUUCCGAUAACGAACGAGACUCUGUCCUGCUAAAUAGUGUCCGCCUCUCUUUUGGGCAGACAAUUCUUCUUAGAGGGACUGGCAACUCUUAGUUGCACGAAAAAGAGCAAUAACAGGUCUGUGAUGCCCUUAGAUGUUCUGGGCCGCACACGCGCUACACUGAAUAGAUCAACGUGUUCCCCCUUCCCGAGAGGGACGGGUAAACCGCUGAACCCUAUUCGUGGUAGGGAUCGGGGCUUGCAAUUGUUCCCCGUAAACCAGGAAUUCCUAGUAGGCGCAAGUCAUAAGCUUGUGUCGAUUACGUCCCUGCCCUUUGUACACACCGCCCGUCGCUACUACCGAUUGAACGUUUUAGUGAGGUCCUCGGACUGUUUGGUAGUCGGAUCACUCUGACUGCCUGGCGGAANGACGACCAAAACGUAAGCGUAGAG
rnacentral:rRNA from 1 species